AAGACUAUACUUUCAGGGAUCAUUUCUAUAGUAUCCAACUAGAGAAAUGCACUCGAAAGUGAUCGGCUGAGUAUUAAUCUAGCAGAGUAAUUUAGGAUGAAAGAU